GAGAGCCGUAUGAUGGGAAACUAUCACGUACGGUUCGGGAAAGGGGUAGUAUUAGCCAACCGGUAAAAACGUAAAAGUUGAGAAUCGUGAGUGUUUCGAUAGACCCGUAAU
rfam:Ophiocordyceps unilateralis strain SC16a Contig_322, whole genome shotgun sequence.